AAAGGAAAGUGGAAGACGGAAUUUAAUCCCAAGCACACACAAGAAGCAGACUUUUGGACCAGUAAGGAGCACCGCAAAAAAGUGCAAAUGAUGGUUCAAAUGGGCAGAUUUAAUUAUGCUAAAAUAACAAACCCACCAAUGGAAGUCCUUGAGAUGCCCUAUGACAAGAAAGAGCUAGGUAUGGUCAUCCUUCUACCGGACGAGAAUGGAACCACAAAAGAGAUUGCGAGGCAACUCACUUAUGAAAAAUUUCGAGAGUGGACCAGUUCAACAGGCAUGCAGAACACAUCGAUCAGGGUUUCCCUGCCAAAAUUCA